AUACCAGCACCUCAAGUGGUCAGGAUGAUUAUUGGGCCUAAAACAUCCGUAGCCGGCUUUGUAAAUUUUUGGUUAAAUCUGUACGCUCAACGUACAGGCUUCCGGGAAUACUGCAGAGCUAGGGAGUGGGAGAGGUAGGCGGUACUCGGUAGGAAGGGGUAAAAUCCUUUGAUCUAUUGAGGACCACCUGUGGCGAAGGCGGUCCACCAGAACACAUCCGACGGUGAGGGAUGAAACCUGGGGGAGCAAACCGGAUUAGAUACCCGGGUAGUCCCAGGUGUAAACUAUGCAAACUCAGUGUAUGCGAUUGGCUUGUGGCCAAUGCAGUGCUGCAGGGAAGCCGUUAAGUUCGCCCGCC
rnacentral:rRNA from 1 species